rnacentral:rRNA from 1 species
AUUGAACGCUGGCGGCAGGCCUAACACAUGCAAGUCGAACGAGUGGCGGACGGGUGAGUAAUGUCUGGGAAACUGCCUGAUGGAGGGGGAUAACUCCUGGAAACGGUAGCUAAUACCGCAUACCAUCGGAUGUGCCCAGAUGGGAUUAGCUAGUAGGUGGGGUAACGGCUCACCGAGGCGACGAUCCCUAGCUGGUCUGAGAGGAUGAGCGGCCACACUGGAACUGAGACACGGCCCAGACUCCUACGGGAGGCAGCAUUGGGGAAGAUUGCACAAUGGGCGCAAGCCUGAGGCAGCCAUGCCGCGUGUAUGAAGAAGGCCUUCGGGUUGUAAAGUACUUUCAUCGGGGAGGCGUUACCCGCAGAAGAAGCACCGGCUAACUCCGUGCCAGCAGCCGCGGUAAUUC